rnacentral:lncRNA from 1 species
AGCGGUUCUGGAAGGCUUCUUUCCCGAGCAUCCUUGGUUGCCCUGGCCUGGCUGCCUCCAGGUCCUGCAUCAACUGAAAACGCUGCCUUUCACAGUGAUUUGACUGGGGAGAGCCGGGAGCCACGCUGUGCCGGCGCAGAGAAUCAGGCGGACCAGCACGGUGCGGCUGCACUUGCCGUGCUCCCGUCACAGCGUGUAAGCACGCGGAGGAAGGCGGGCUCUCAGAACCGCUUCAGACAGUGGCAGGAGUGAUGGGAUGUGGACUCAUUUCCCAGCUCUGUUCAGCCACUUUGCACAUACAUGGGUGGCUCAGAAGAAGCGCCCUUGCCCCGAAUCACUGUAACGGGGUUGGAGCAGAAGCCAGAGGUGAAUUAAACAGAGCCGAGAGACCCUACCUGGCUGGAGACUACGGGUGUGAGUCCAGCGCUCUGGGUAAGAGCACAACGGCUCACUUCAAACUUUGCUUCUGGCCCAAAUGUGUUCUGACAUCACCCCAUCUGAACCCCGAAGCCGUAGGUAUUUACACAUUUAACAUCAGAGGGGAAGAGAAACCCAGAGAGAGGCAGACUUUUGAUCUCACUCAAAAUAAGAACUUGAUGCAUUAUAUAUUUUGGCGUAGUUUGUUUUUUGUCACACUGAGAAGAAAGAAGGCUAAAAUUAUGUUCCAGUUUAUGAAGAAACAUAUUCCAGUGAGUUUAGGAUUGAUUUUCCAAGUCACCUUGCCCGGUUCAAGGCCUAAGCUGAUUUCCAUCUCCUGCGAAUGUGCUCCUGGUUUCCUCUCCAGUCCUGUGGUCUGGAGAGAGGAUGAACCACAGUGGAGGAAGCACCUGCCCUCGUAGCUGCCAGUGUCCCCAGUACCAUGUUCAGGGUGUACCACAGAGACCCCACAUAACGGGCUCCCA